rnacentral:rRNA from 1 species
UACGAAGGGGGCUAGCGUUGCUCGGAAUUACUGGGCGUAAAGCGCGUGUAGGCGGUUAUCCAAGUCAGGUGUGAAAGCCUUGAGCUCAACUCAAGAAAUGCACUUGGUACUGGGUGACUAGAGGACCGGAGAGGAUAGUGGAAUUCCCAGUGUAGUGGUGAAAUACGUAGAGAUUGGGAAGAACACCAGUGGCGAAGGCGGCUAUCUGGACGGUUUCUGACGCUAAGACGCGAAAGCGUGGGGAGCAAACAGG